CUUCCUCCAUAAGGAGAAGUUUCGAUUUUAGUUCCUGGUAUUUUUCAGGAUCUGUGUGAAGGGGUGUACCAACCGCUCGUUAGGCCGACGGACAGACCAAUCGCUGCAGGCCUAAGGAGGCCACGCCCCCAGCCUUGCUGCACAUGCUCCCAGUGGAAGCGACAGAUAAAAGGAGGCGGCCCAGCCCAUCUGGGCUGGCUGAGGAGGAGGACGGACGUGUGUUGCAAGCUCCUGCAAGAUGCUGGAGGCUCCCCAAGCAGGGGAACCUUAGACCCGGACUAUGCGGGAGUCCUGGAGCCCAGGGGUUUGAGACUGGAUUCUUCAUGCUUUAUUGAUUCAAGGUAUUUUAAAUUGAACUGAGCGUCCUGCUUCCUGAUACUUCCGCCUGCUGCAAAAAUGAAAGUAAGAAACCGGUUGGAAAAUUACAGUCAUAGACUCCCUGGCACACGUUGACUGCUGCACAGAGAUCAAAGUUCUCUUAAAAAGGCAUACACCUGCAGUAAGUACCGAGAUGGCAGGUCUGGUGCCAGCAAUCUCAGUGAUCCAUGUGAGCCAACCUGGGGUGUGUCAGCCCUGAAACCUGCUUUUCCUCCUCUCCACUGAUCACUAUAACAGCAAUAAAUUCUGUUAAUACCGCA